rnacentral:rRNA from 1 species
AACGUAGGAGACGAGCGUUAUCCGGAUUUACUGGGCGUAAAGCGCGUGCAGGCGGCAUGGCAAGUUGGAUGUGAAAGCUCCCGGCUUAACUGGGAGAGGUCGUUCAAAACUGCCAAGCUUGAGAGUGGUAGAGGGAAGCGGAAUUCCGGGUGUAGUGGUGAAAUGCGUAGAUAUCCGGAGGAACACCAGUGGCGAAAGCGGCUUCCUGGCCCAUUUCUGACGCUCAGACGCGAAAGCUAGGGUAGCAAACGGG